GAUGAACGCUGGCGGCGUGCCUAAUACAUGCAAGUCGAGCGAACAGACGAUGAGCUUGCUCCUCUCACGUUAGCGGCGGACGGGUGAGUAACACGUGUAUAACCUACCUAUAUGACUGGGAUAACUUCGGGACUCCGGCGCUAAUCCCGUAUAAUAUAUUGAACCGCAUGGUUCAAUAGUGAAAUACGGUUUUGCUGUCACUUAUCGAUGGAUCCGCGCCGCAUUAGCUAGUUGGUAAGGUAACGGCUUACCAAGGCAACGAUGCGUAGCCGACCUGAGAGGGGGAUAGGCGGCACUGGAACUGAGACACGGUCAAGACUCCUACGGGAGGCAGCAGUAGGGAAUGUUCCGCAAUGGGCGAAAGCCUGACGGAGCAACGCCGCGUGAGUGAUGAAGGUCUUCGGAUCGUAAAACUCUGUUAUUAGGGAAGAACAAAUGUGGAAGUAAAUAUGCACGUCUUGACGGUACCUAAUCAGAAAGCAACGGCUAACUACGUG
rnacentral:rRNA from 1 species